GAAAGUUGAUCGUGUUUAUGUCGUCGAAUAUCGACGUCAUAAACACCUAAGUUGUUUGUGUUUAUGACGUCGAAUAUCGACGUCAUAAACAUCAAAA
rnacentral:miRNA from 1 species